rnacentral:lncRNA from 1 species
UAAAGAUAUUAUCAAUGGGAGACCAUUAGUAAUACUAACACUUUUCUUAUUUUAUUUGGUGGUGGUUUUAUCUCCACAUUUAUUUUAUUUAUGGUAUGGUGUAGGUUUAUUACCCAUACGACAACAUUUACUUUAUCAUAAAUUUACUUUAAAGGGUGGUGCGGGUUUAUCGUCCACGCCUUUACUGUCAUUUACAUGUAUGGAGCAGAAUUAGUGCCCAUACAAGCACAUUUACUUUAUCAUAAAUUUACUUUAAAGGGUGGUGCGGGUUUAUCGUCCACGCCUUUACUGUCAUUUAAAUGUAUGGAGCAGAAUUAGUGCCCAUACAAGCACGUUUACUUUACCGCACAUUUAAAGUAUGGUGCGGGAUUAACGUCCAUACAACAAUUUAAUUUAUGAAUUUACUUUACCGCACAUUUAAAGUAUGGUGCGGGAUUAACGUCCAUACAAGUAAUUUAUUUAACAGUAAAUUUAUUUUAUGGAUUAAUUGUGUUGUAUGAUGAGUUUUUACAGUAUACAGAUCAGGACCAGAAGUUCCUUGAUCCUCAUCAUACAUUUACAUCAGGACUUGAAGAUCCUUGAUGAUGAUAUUAAUAUGAGAGCUGACAGUCUCUCCGGUACUAUAUUUGUAAACAUGUGAUCGGACUUAAGAGUCCUUGAUCCCUG